ACCAAAGCUGUAUGACACACAAUGCAAAUUUGUGCUCCAAUAAUUUUUGUGAUACAAAAUUGUUAAAUGUGACCAAAAGGUAAGCGACUCUUAAGAGUUUCAUUUCCAAAGACAAAUCAUCACAGAAUAUUACAAUUCUUCCUUAGCAAACCUGCCCCUCAGUCUGCCCCUGAGCAACAACUUUGCGCAUGCCCAUUUCAACGCAUCGCUCAAAUUGGGGUUUCAGAAGAGAUUUUGCAGGGGUUCAACACCCGUCUUGUACGCAUUGGAUUUCAACUGGAAAUUAGCUACUUCAAAGAUUAUCCUACCACCGUCACACGGCCUAGCACUGUGUCCCUGGGAAAUGAUGAUUCCAUACCCCUAGAUGUCAACUCUGGUCUGGUGGAGGUGAACCAAUUGGGGGCCCAGGAAAACAGCUGGCAGCCAGGCA